ensembl:lncRNA
UUCCCUACGUUGAAAACGUUCUGAAGUUUGUCUCUUGUUCAAGUUCAGGGGUCCGCACGGCUGUGUGGCUGCGCGCAGAAGCCGAGCUAUUUCAUUGCUGGAUACGGAUUUAGCUGAGUCCCCUGCACCCUACUUCACCCUCCGGGAACGUGCGGGAAAGCGUGCUGGGGGUUCAGCUCUGCUUCACAGGGGCGGUCUCUUUAGGGGUGGAAAGAGGGUGCAACUCAGCGUCUAGAUGGGACUGAGCAUUCCGGAAAUCAGAAAUUCGGGGAACCGGGAGUUCGCCUGCGCCCGACUCCCGCCCCCGCGCAACGUGCGCACCUCCCCACCCCCAGCACACACUAUAGCACUCCUUCCGCCCUGAUUUGCCUCCGGGAAAACAAGUCGGGAGAGCUGGGGGCACUCGCCCAAAAUCACCCUGGAGAACCCGGAGUCUGGAAUAGAAGCAUGCUUGUAUCUCUCCACUCCCUGUCUGGUGGUGGGCCCAUAUUCUAUGCAGCCUCUAGGAAGCGCUAGACCCAUGGUGUCAGCCCUGAAGACCCUUCCAGUCACAACAUCAGCUCACUUUCCCAAUUUUCUGGAUGAUGUGUAGAAGAGUCUGCCUCGGGUCCAGAUGUGUCUCUGCUUCAUCAGAAGGAAAGGUGUCUUUCACCAACCAGAGGCCAAGCAUCAAGAAGGCAGAAGAAAGUAUCUCUUGGUCUUCACUGAGUCUACAGCAUCUAGCAUGGCACAGAGAGUGUGCUCAGUCAAUCUGGGUUAUUCAUCAGAGGUUUUUGUCAAGGAGAAGUUCAGAACUGUACAUCACCCUUAUGGGCAUGCCUAGACUGCACUCAAAAUUUUCACAAAACUUUCAGGAUUAUAAAGUAGCCAGAGUCCUUCUGGGUGAUCUUCCAAGACCUGUCCUUCUCCCAGUGAAGGACCUCCUUUGGCAGCAUCUUGGCUACUUAAAUAUUGUAGCCACAGAGUGAGGACAUGAUGCCCAGAGAGCAGUAGUAGUAAUUCUACUUAGUGCUGUUGGCUGGACACCUUCAGGAAUACUGUGGGUAUGACACUUGGAGAGCAAUGUUGGCCAACCAUAGAGAUCUGAAGGUAGGAUGGCUACACCAUAAGAGACCUGAAACCAUGCUCCAUCGGAAAGAACUGAAAGAACUGGGAUUAUUCAGGGAGUCAUGGGGUAGGGAUGGUGGGGACAAGACAGAACAUAUAGGAGUCUCCAAAUAAGGGGAGUUGACUUACUCUGUAGGCUUUGAGGUCAGAGCUAGAGUAAUGUUAGAAGUUAGAGAAGACAGCUGCUAUAUUUAAGGAAGAACUUGCUGAAAUUAGUUAUUUAUCAAUAGGACAAUUACUUUAACUGUAGAAUUGAAGUCCCUCCACUCAACACAUAUUUAUUGUCUUCUAUGUUCCAGACACUCUGUAAAGUUAGUUUAUGAUAAUUCCUAGCAAGCACAUAGUACUUGUGGUAAUCAUCACUUAUUUUCACAGUUCAUAAAAGCCAUCUUAAGUAGUCUCAUUUAGAAUUUGGAGUUCGUCUCCAACAUUAGUGGUUUCUCAAUUCUAGAAUUACACAUUUUUACUCACAAAAUUUGUAAACUGYAUUGAUGUUUUCUCAUGUCCAAUGUUAGUUAUAUGGACAUUCUUCUAUCAAAACAAGUGUUUUCAGUAUCAUAAAUCAAAAUUACCUAUACUUUAUCCACUGUCWUUAUUGCUUCCAUAUUUGAGGGUCACUUGGGACGAUGAGAUACUCCCUUACUGUUCUGGUAGAAGAACUAUAAAGUAUCCACCAAGCCCCURCCCUUUUGUGCCUUGGUACACAGCUAGACUGCAUUUCCUGGCUCCUUUGUAAGUAGGUGUUCCUGAGUUUUAAACAUUGCAAAGAGGGUCAGUAGGAUGUGCGUCACAGGCCUGGUUCAUAAAACCAUCUCUCCCUAUCUCCUGAUAAGGGACUCCAAGGUCAUAUACAGGGAUACAGCCACAGAGAGAAGGAGCCUGGAUCUCUGAAAGAAGGUCGUCUAACACCCAGAAAUAGGGUUUGGACUUGGAAUGAGAAAUCAACUUUAUUGUGUAGAUGGACUGAGAUUUGGGAUAUUUGUUAGAGCUGCCAAUGUCAUCUUACUGUAGUUGGUGCUGCAGGAUAACCUCAGUGAGGGAUCACAGAUCCAAAGUAGGGGUUUUGUCCCAGUUUGAAGAGAAUUAAUGGAGAAGACAGAGUAAAGCAGAUGGCACUUAAUUGCAUAUGGAGGCUUCCUUUUGCUAAUAUUUUCUUCCCAUCUAAUUUAUAAACUUCAUGAGGCAUGUUAGUAUGUCUUAUGUCCUCGUAGAGUGAGUAUUUACUGAGAAAUACCUGGUGCUUUUGGGUUUUCAGAAAGAAUCCAGAGAGCACAUACUGUUAAACAUUCAUUAAUUCAACCGUAUGUGAGUAUUUACCAUAGAUCUGCCUCUGGUGAUCAUGGUAAACAGGAACUACAGGCCUGCCUACAAGUUGACAGAUAGCAAGGAAAGUGGGUAACCAGGAGGCAAGACUAUUCCAGUCUGAUAAUGCCAUGAUGUGACAGAGAGGAACAGGAUUCUCUGUCUGCACGUGGUAUCUAACAAGGGUAGAGACCAGAGAAUUGUUGUUAAGAAGGUGGUGAAAGUUUUAAACUGAGACUUCCAGGAUGAAUAGAAGUACCCAGAAGAAGUGGAGGUGGUGCAGAAAGAAAGAAUAAUCUAAGAAAAGUCAAGAUGUCAAUGAAUGGGCUGGGAUUGUGGCUCAGUGGUAGAGCACUUGCCUCACAUAUGUGAGGCACUGGGUUUGAAUCUCAGCACUGCAUAUAAAUAAAUAAAAUAAAGGUCCAUCA